rnacentral:rRNA from 1 species
UCGAGAAUCUUCGGCAAUGAGCGCAAGCUUGACCGAGCGACGCCGCGUGCGGGAUGAAGGCCUUCGGGUUGUAAACUGCUGUCACGCACUAGGAAUCCCCUGCGGUGAAUAGCCGCAGGGUUGACUAAAGCGAGAGGAAGCACCGGCUAACUCUGUGCCAGCAGCCGCGGUAAGACAGAGGGUGCAAACGUUGUUCGGAAUCACUGGGCAUAAAGCGCACGUAGGCCGUCCACUAAGUCGAAUGUGAAAUACCCCGGCUCAACCGGGGAACUGCAUCCGAUACUGGUGGACUCGAGGAUGGUUGGGGUGAGUGGAACUCCAGGUGGAGCGGUGAAAUGCGUAGAUAUCUGGAGGAACACCGGUGGCGAAAGCGGCUCACUGGACCAUCUCUGACGCUGAGGUGCGAAAGCUAGGGGAGCAAACGGGAUUAGAUACCCUUGUAGUCCCUGAGCGGGCUGGCAAGGCGCAU